rnacentral:rRNA from 1 species
UACGUAGGGUGCGAGCGUUGUCCGGAAUUAUUGGGCGUAAAGGGCUCGUAGGCGGUCUGUUGCGUCGGGAGUGAAAACUCAGGGCUUAACCCUGAGCCUGCUUCUGAUACGGGCAGACUAGAGGUAUGCAGGGGAGAACGGAAUUCCUGGUGUAGCGGUGAAAUGCGCAGAUAUCAGGAGGAACACCGGUGGCGAAGGCGGUUCUCUGGGCAUUACCUGACGCUGAGGAGCGAAAGUGUGGGGAGCGAACAGG